AACGCUGGCGGCGUGCUAAUACAUGCAAGUCGAUCGAGAACCCUUGAGAUCGUCUGGGGGGGAGAGUGUGCGAACUGGUGAGUAACACGUGUGUGACCUGCCCCGAAGACGGGGAUAACCGUUGGAAACGACGGCUAAUACCCGAUAUACUCGGUGAUUCGGUUCAUCGAGUAAAGGCUCCGGUGCUUCGGGAUGGGCCUGCGGCCUAUCAGCUAGUUGGUGGGGUAAUGGCCCACCAAUGCGAAGACGGGUAGGGGGCUGUGAGAGCGCGGCCCCCCACACUGGCACUGAGAUACGGGCCAGACUUCUACGGAAGGCAGCAGUCGGGGAUAUUGCACAAUCGGCGAAAGCCUGGAUGCUGCGACGCCGCGUGGGCGAUGAAGGCCUUCGGGUUGUAGAGCCCUUUUAUGGGGGAAGAGACACGGACUGUACCCCAGGAAUACGCGUCGGCUAACUACGUGCCAUCAGCCGCGCUAAAACGUAGGACGCAAGCGUUAUCCGGAUUUACUGGGCGUAAAGAGC
rnacentral:rRNA from 1 species